rnacentral:rRNA from 1 species
AACGAACGCUGGCGGCAGGCCUAACACAUGCAAGUCGAGCGGACCCUUCGGGGUUAGCGGCGGACGGGUGAGUAACGCGUGGGAAUAUGCCCUUCUCUACGGAAUAGUCCUGGGAAACUGGGGGUAAUACCGUAUACGCCCUUUGGGGGAAAGAUUUAUCGGGGAAGGAUUAGCCCGCGUUGGAUUAGGUAGUUGGUGGGGUAAUGGCCUACCAAGCCGACGAUCCAUAGCUGGUUUGAGAGGAUGAUCAGCCACACUGGGACUGAGACACGGCCCAGACUCCUACGGGAGGCAGCAGUGGGGCAUCUUAGACAAUGGGGGCAACCCUGAUCUAGCCAUGCCGCGUGAGUGAUGAAGGCCUUAGGGUUGUAAAGCUCUUUCAGCUGGGAAGAUAAUGACGGUACCAGCAGAAGAAGCCCCGGCUAACUCCGUG